AUUACUGGGUGUAAAGGGAGCGCAGGCGGGAAGACAAGUUGGAAGUGAAAUCUAUGGGCUCAACCCAUAAACUGCUUUCAAAACUGUUUUUCUUGAGUAGUGCAGAGGUAGGCGGAAUUCCCGGUGUAGCGGUGGAAUGCGUAGAUAUCGGGAGGAACACCAGUGGCGAAGGCGGCCUACUGGGCACCAACUGACGCUGAGGCUCGAAAGUGUGGGUAGCAAACAGGAUUAGAUACCCUGGUAGUCCACACCGUAAACGAUGAUUACUAGGUGUUGGAGGAUUGACCCCUUCAGUGCCGCAGUUAACACAAUAAGUAAUCCACCUGGGGAGUACGACCGCAAGGUUGAAACUCAAAGGAAUUGACGGGGGCCCGCACAAGCAGUGGAGUAUGUGGUUUAAUUCGACGCAACGCGAAGAACCUUACCAAGUCUUGACAUCCUGCGACGUGCAUAGAAAUAUGUAUUUCCUUCGGGACGCAGAGACAGGUGGUGCAUGGUUGUCGUCAGCUCGUGUCGUGAGAUGUUGGGUUAAGUCCCGCAACGAGCGCAACCCUUACUGUCAGUUACUACGCAAGAGGACUCUGGCAGGACUGCCGUUGACAAAACGGAGGAAGGUGGGGAUGACGUCAAAUCAUCAUGCCCUUUAUGACUUGGGCUACACACGUACUACAAUGGCGUUAAACAAAGAGAAGCAAGACCGCGAGGUGGAGCAAAACUCAGAAACAACGUCCCAGUUCGGACUGCAGGCUGCAACUCGCCUGCACGAAGUCGGAAUUGCUAGUAAUCGUGGAUCAGCAUGCCACGGUGAAUACGUUCCCGGGCCUUGUACACACCGCCCGUCACACCAUGAGAGCC
rnacentral:rRNA from 1 species